rnacentral:rRNA from 1 species
UACAGAGGUCUCAAGCGUUGUUCGGAUUCAUUGGGCGUAAAGGGUGCGUAGGCGGCGCGGUAAGUCGGGUGUGAAAUUUCGAGGCUUAACUUCGAAACUGCAUUCGAUACUGCCGUGCUAGAGGACUGGAGAGGAGACUGGAAUUUACGGUGUAGCGGUGAAAUGCGUAGAUAUCGUAAGGAAGACCAGUGGCGAAGGCGGGUCUCUAGACAGUUCCUGACGCUGAGGCACGAAGGUCAGGGGAGCAAACGGG